UAAGAGGUAGGCUUAAGUGUUUGAACAGACAAAUGCCCUCCUCUUGUUCCAGCCCUUUCAUGGGUCCUAGGCUUCUUCCUCCUGUGAUCUUCUGUCUUCUUGGAGCAGCUUGUGUGGAUGCGAUGGUCAUGCAGAGCCCAAGAUACAAGGUUGCCAGGGUUGGGAAAGCAGUGAAUUUGAGCUGUUCUCAGAAUCUGAAUCACAAUGCCAUGUACUGGUACCAUCACAAGCCAAACCAAGGACCAAAGUUUCUGCUCUACUACUAUGAUACAGCAUUGAACAGGGAGGCGGACACUUCUGAUAACUUCCAAUCCAGCCGGCCCAACAAUUCUUUCUGCUCUCUUGAGAUUCGCUCUGCAGGACUAGGAGAUUCUGCCACGUACCUCUGUGCUAGCAGCAGAGACACAGGGAUACAACAUCACCUGCCCUCUGUUCAUAAACAUUUUUCUUUCCCAGAUGCAAAGUUCCCUGCGCCCUGA